CACUGGGUUACCCCUUCAGAUAGAGGCUGUUCAGCUCAGGACUGCAUUUCCCAGUGGCCACCGCGCCCGAACUGACCUCGAGUUCCCAUCCGUUUCCGGUCUCCGCUGGUCGAUGACGCAGUGGGGGGAGGUCCUUGCGUCCUAAAAGGGAGUCGGCGCUGGGGCUGCGGGAGACUUCAGAUUGGGAGCCGGGCCGGAGAGACCCGUAGUGCGGUGGGCGGGAGGCCGGCGCUCAGAGUGGGGAGCCCGGGGCGCGGACCGGGCAUGCAAAAGAUGGACAGUGAAUAAGGAAGACCGAAGAAUUGAUGCCUUUGAAUUACGGUGUUGGCGAAGAAUACUGAAUAUACCAUGGACUGCCAGAAAAACAAACAAAUCUGUCUUGGAAGAAGUACAACCAGAAUGCUCCUUAGAAGUAAGGAUGGUGAGACUUGGUUCCUGUACUUUGGACUUCUUAUCAGGAGGGACCAGUCCCUGGAGAAGGACAUCAUACUUGGUAGAAGGUCAGCGAAACAAAGGAACACCCUCAACGAGAUGGACUGAUAGAGUGGCUGCAACAGUGGGCUACAGCAUAACAGGGAUUAUGAGGAUGGUGCAGGACUGGGCAGAGUUUCUUUCUGUUCUACAUAGGGUCGCUAUGAGUCGGAAUCGGCUUGACAGCAACAGGGUUUCUCACCAGUAUGAAUUGUGUGAUGUCGAGCAAGUUCUGCUUGAAGACGAAAAGUAGUCCCGCAUUCUUUACAUCCAUAUGGUUUCUCACCAGUAUGAAGUCUAAAAUGUUGAGUAAGAUGAUACCGACGACUAAAGGUCUUUCCACAUUCUGUACAUUCAUAUGGAAUCUCACCAGUGUGAAUCCUCUGAUGUAAGGUAUUUAAGGUCGACAAAAUGUCUAACAUCUUCCGAAAUCCUGUUGAGUGUAUUUCCAUCCACCAUUAGGGAUCCGGGGGUUAUCGGACCUGCUACCACCACUAUCCUUCAUGAACACUUGCCUUGUUCCUGAAGCAGACAUGCUGAUGUAGAAUGAUCCACAAUGACACUGAUGUCACUGGAGACCAACACAACCUCCUCAACCACAAAACUCAACUUUUUCCUGUUGUUCAUCCCUCAGGGACCAUUAUGGAUUGAAUUGUGUCCCCUGAAUAUGCGUGUUGUAAAUCCUAACCUCUAUGCCUGUGGUUAUAAUCCUGUUUGGGAAUGGGUUGUCUCUGUUAUGUUAAUGAGGCUGGAUUAGUGUAGGGUGUAUUUUGAGUCGAUGUCUUUUUGAGAUAUAAAAGAGAUUAAACAAGCAAGCUAGGAAGCAGAGAUGGGGGAAGAGAGAUGCCAAGACACAUGGAGAUCACCCAGGAGCAGGGGCUCAAAGAGAAAAGAACCUUCCUCCAGAGCCGACAGAGAGAGAAAGCCUUCCCCUACAGCUGGAACCCUGAGUUUGCACUUCUAGCCUCCUAAACCGUGAGAAAAUAAAUUUCUCAUCUAGUGCUGCUAUGGAAACACUGGUGGCAUAGUGGUUAAGUGCUAUAGCUGUUAACCAAAAGGUCAGCAGUUUGAAUCCACCAGGUACUUCUUGGAAACUCUAUGGGGCAGUUCUACUCUGUCCUAUAGGGUUGCUGUGAGUCGGACUCGACGGCAACGGGUUUGGUUUGAGUUUAGUGCUGUUAUAACAGAAAUAAGUGGUAUUUCUGUUAUAGCAGCACUAGAUAACUAAGAUAGGGACCCCGUGGCUAGACCCUGAAGUCCCCAUACACAGGCUCCAAUCACACUCCAAUGCAGUCCUAUAAGCCUCUGAAGGCAUGAUAUCUCACCAUGGGCAGAACGUUCAACACUAUAUUCUAUCUCAUCAGCAAGCAGAAUUCAGGUCUCUGGAGGUGAAAACUUCACUACAAGUUCUAAUGGAAACAUCAUCUCUAUGCAGUGGGAUCAUGAGGCUGACAAAAAAACAAAAAACAAGUGUGUUGCCGUUGAGUCAAUUCCAACUCAUAGCAACCCUAGAGGACAGGGUAGAACUGCACUGUAGGGUUUCCAAGGAGUGGCUGGUGGAGUCCAACUGCCGACCUUUUGGUUAGUAGCCAAGCUCUUAACCGCUGGGCCACCAGGGCUACAUGACUCUGACAAGGGAAGCUAAAAUACCUCCCCCAGCAGAUUUCACCUUCCACGGCUCUGUCGAUGCUCCUGA